rnacentral:tRNA from 1 species
UUGACUAAAGCCAAAAAGAGGCAUAUCAUUGUUAAUGAUAGCAUUAGGAAUAUCCCUUAGUCAAG